UACGAAGGGGGCUAGCGUUAUUCGGAAUUACUGGGCGUAAAGCGCACGUAGGCGGACUACUAAGUCAGGGGUGAAAUCCCGGGGCUCAACCCCGGAACUGCCUUUGAUACUGAUAGUCUCGAGUCCGGAAGAGGUGAGUGGAAUUCCGAGUGUAGAGGUGAAAUUCGUAGAUAUUCGGAGGAACACCAGUGGCGAAGGCGGCUCACUGGUCCGGUACUGACGCUGAGGUGCGAAAGCGUGGGGAGCAAACAGG
rnacentral:rRNA from 1 species